rnacentral:rRNA from 1 species
GAUAAGUGCUGAAAGCAUCUAAGCACGAAACUUGCCCCGAGAUGAGUUCUCCCUGACUCCUUGAGAGUCCUGAAGGAACGUUGAAGACGACGACGUUGAUAGGCCGGGUGUGUAAGCGCAGCGAUGCGUUGAGCUAACCGGUACUAAUGAACCGUGAGGCUUAACCUUACAACGCCUAAGGUGUU